UCGGGAAUUUUGGGCAAUGGGCGAAAGCCUGACCCAGCAACGCCGCGUGAAGGAUGAAGUAUUUCGGUAUGUAAACUUCGAAAGAAUAGGAAGAAUAAAUGACGGUACUAUUUAUAAGGUCCGGCUAACUACGUGCCAGCAGCCGCGGUAAUACGUAGGGACCAAGCGUUGUUCGGAUUUACUGGGCGUAAAGGGCGCGUAGGCGGCAAUUCAAGUCAUCUGUGAAAUCUCCGGGCUUAACUCGGAACGGUCAACUGAUACUGUCACACUAGAGUACAGAAGGGGCAAUCGGAAUUCUUGGUGUAGCGGUGAAAUGCGUAGAUAUCAAGAGGAACACCUGAGGCGAAGGCGGGUUGCUGGGCUGAUACUGACGCUGAGGCGCGAAAGCUAGGGUAGCAAACGGGAUUAGAUACCCCCGUAGUCCCUGAGCGGGCUGGCAAGGCGCAU
rnacentral:rRNA from 1 species